UCUCUGAUAGUAUAUCGGUUAGUACACGCGCCUGUCAUGAAUAAAGUACGCGCGAAAGCUGGGUUCGACUCCCAGUCAGAGAG